AGUGAAGUCAGUGGUGACAGCUGGGCAUCCCUUUGCUGUCCCUGCCUUACUCGAGCCCCAGGCAUAGGAUGACAAAGGGAAGCCCACAGGUCACAGAGGAG